CUGAGUGGCGGACGGGUGAGUAACGCGUGGGUAACCUGCCUCAUACAGGGGGAUAACAGUUAGAAAUGACUGCUAAUACCGCAUAAGACCACAGCACCGCAUGGUGCAGGGGUAAAAACUCCGGUGGUAUGAGAUGGACCCGCGUCUGAUUAGGUAGUUGGUGGGGUAACGGCCUACCAAGCCAACGAUCAGUAGCCGACCUGAGAGGGUGACCGGCCACAUUGGGACUGAGACACGGCCCAAACUCCUACGGGAGGCAGCAGUGGGGAAUAUUGCACAAUGGGGGAAACCCUGAUGCAGCGACGCCGCGUGAGCGAUGAAGUAUUUCGGUAUGUAAAGCUCUAUCAGCAGGGAAGAAAAUGACGGUACCUGACUAAGAAGCACCGGCUAAAUACGUGCCAGCAGCCGCGGUAAUACGUAUGGUGCAAGCGUUAUCCGGAUUUACUGGGUGUAAAGGGAGCGUAGACGGAGUGGCAAGUCUGAUGUGAAAACCCGGGGCUCAACCCCGGGACUGCAUUGGAAACUGUCAAUCUAGAGUACCGGAGAGGUAAGCGGAAUUCCUAGUGUAGCGGUGAAAUGCGUAGAUAUUAGGAGGAACACCAGUGGCGAAGGCGGCUUACUGGACGGUAACUGACGUUGAGGCUCGAAAGCGUGGGGAGCAAACAGGAUUAGAUACCCUGGUAGUCCACGCCGUAAACGAUGACUACUAGGUGUCGGGCAGCA
rnacentral:rRNA from 1 species